UACGUAGGGUGCGAGCGUUGUCCGGAAUUAUUGGGCGUAAAGAGCUUGUAGGCGGUUUGUCGCGUCUGCCGUGAAAAUUCGAGGCUCAACCUCGAACUUGCGGUGGGUACGGGCAGACUAGAGUGUGGUAGGGGAGACUGGAAUUCCUGGUGUAGCGGUGAAAUGCGCAGAUAUCAGGAGGAACACCGAUGGCGAAGGCAGGUCUCUGGGCCACUACUGACGCUGAGAAGCGAAAGCAUGGGAGCGAACAGG
rnacentral:rRNA from 1 species